CCUUCUUGUGGAGGAAACCACUAGACUAAGUUAGAAACAAAUUGAAAUCUAUCCACUUUUUACUAAAAAAGAAGAGAAGAGAAAAACAGAAUAGAGGAGCAAGGGAGAAAGAGAGAUUGACGCAUGAGAGGGAGAAGAGAAAGAAGAGGAAAACAAAACUCACAACCAAAGAUUAAUUGCUAUUCCAAAUUUUCAGGUAGGCGACGAGUCAUAGUUGCCGAGUUCGGGGAGCUUGUCCCUUGCUGUUUUAGUAAUUGAGUCGCUCUGAUAGGAUGUCUUGGGGGAUUCACGUAUAUAUUCAAUUAGUAUUUCUUCAAAAUGACUUGAACAGUGUCAAUUGGUUUUUGGAAAGAUUCUACUGCUCUCAAUAAUUUUUGACUUCAAAUUUUAGAACUUAUGUUUAUUGGUUUUAA